AGACGCUGAGCCGAGCCCUGCAGGGUGCCGAGGGGCAGGCCAGGAGGAGUCUGUGUGAGGUGGGCGGGGCAGAGGGACACAGGGGAUGCGUUGACUCUGUACUGUCAGUGGGACAUCAAGGCAGACUGUCCAGGAGCAGCUGGGUCCAUGGACAAGGUGGCCUCAAAGACUCAGGUGGGACAGGUGCCCCAGGGAGGGCAGUGUCAGGACCACAUUCUCAAGUGACACUGGGGAGGGGACGGGUGAGCGUGGGCAGAGUGAGCGAGGAGGAGAGGUCAGGAAUGGGGAAGUGGUCCACACACGGAACAGGUCAAGUCAGAAGAGAACAAGGCGUGUCUGACUUGGCGACUGGCUGGGGGUGGCCGGAGGGUGGAGGGUGGCUCCAGAGGUCUGAGCACAGGUCAGCCGCUGGAGGAGGGAGUGUCACGGGCGGUCAGCAUGUGGGCCCGUCAGCCACGGGAGUCCCAGGGCCUGAGGGGUGGCAGGGGGCCUGUACCUGGGGUGGGGGGAUGCUGUGCCCAGGUAAUCAGCAAAGGCUGGGCAGAGGGACCUGGGGGCUCACAAGAAGCCUCGGCAGGUCGUACGGGGGGACAAAGCGAGAGGCAGACAGAGCAGGGGGAGAGUGUUUUGAGGAUCCAGGAGAGAGAUGCUGAGGAUCUGAAGAGAGAAAGCAUGAGGCUGGAGAGAGACGGGCUCGGGAGUGUGACGGCCUGAGAUGAGUCACCUAAAAGUUCUCUGGUCCUCACUCUCAGCACCCGUGAGCCUGACCUUGUUAGGAAAUAGGGUCUUUGUAGAUGAUCAAUCAGAAUGAGAUUGCUAGGGUAGACCCUAAUCCAGUGUGACCGGGGUCCUUAUAAGAAGGGGAGAUGAGGACACAGACGCUCACAGAGGGACGACCCUGUGAGGACGCAGGGAGGAGACGGCAUCUACACACCAAGGAGAGAGGCCUCAGGAGGGACCAGCCCUGCCCACACCUGGACCUCGGCCGUCCAGCCUCCAGGACUGGGAGACAGUCAGUACUGGUGGCUUAAGCCCCCUCUGUGGUCCUUUUGCACAGCAGGCCCCGGGACACUGACACAGGGCUUGUGUUAGUCAGGGAAAAGGAGACCAGCUGCUGUAACAAACAGCCCCACACUCAGGAUCUGAGCCCUGCGAGAACCUUGUUCCCACUCCCGUCCAAUUCUCAGGCCAUGGCAGGUGGGGAGGGGCUCUGUAGUCUGCCUGGGACCCCAGGCUCCUCCUCCCCGAGGUCCUCAGAGGCCUGGCUGAUCCUUUGUAUCCAGCAGGCAGGGGAGGGGCGGGGAGACCAUGGGAAGGCUGGGGUCCCACGGCCAGGCCUGGACACAAAUGUCAUCAAGAACUCAGUCUCAUGGCCUCAUCUGUCUGCAAGUGCGUGCCAGGGAAGAAAAGGGAAGCAGUGUUGUGGGUGGCCCGCCAGCUCCGGUCACAGUGACCUACGAGAUUCGGGGGCAAGGGAAUGAGAAGCUGGGGUGCCUUGGGCGCUCUGGGGGUCCAGGUGGGGCCACCAGCAAGCAGAGGCACGAAGCAGGAGCAGGUCAGGGUGGGAGAGGAUUCUGGACGGGGAGGGAAACCCAAGCCGAGGCAUCCAGGGCGGCUGUGUGGUCACAGGCCAAGCUCAGAGACGCUGGGAGGGAGGCGAUCAGAGCGCCACCACAGCGGGGAUGGGCGGGACGUCGGCACGCAGCUUCCCCUCUCUCCCUGCAGCUUCCUGGGGUGCAUCGCUCCGGGGCGUCGCCAGCGUUGUAUGUGUUCUGCCUUGGGAGGAAGGCUGUGGGGUUUGCUGGUUAGCCCCGUACCCCACUCCCUGAUCACAGGCCUCUGGGAAAUGUGUCCUGGAGUCCUGGCGCGGGCACACGAGGAGCGUGAGGAGGAAGCCACGGGUAGGGCCUAGGGACAGAUGGGGACAGGGAGUCCACAAGGGAACUGGGGGGUGGACAGGUCAGAGGGAUGCCAGAAGAAGAUGGACGGAGGGCCAGGUGGGGAGCCAGCCACACUGAGUGGACACACUGAGAGGUCAGGGUCCCUCCUGGGCAGCAUCCAGCUCGGGACUGCAAGAGUUGGCCUCCUCUGCCUGGUCUGCCCGUUGUCGGGACUUUGCUCACCACUCACUUCUGAGGACGCCCAGGCCCCACCUCCAGCCGGGACCCCUGCACCCUGCUGCCUGUGUCUCUCUUCCCUGGGAACCUCCACGGUCCCCAAACUCACCUCCCAGAGUCAGCCCCUCCCCUGCUCUGGGAUGCCUCCCUGGGGAACCUCCCUCUUCCCCCUCGGCCUAGGCCUGGGCGCCCCGUCUGCCUGGUCCACCAAGUCCUGGGGGCUCUGCCUCGUGAAUGUCUCUCGUCCACCAGCUGCCUCCCUCCCAGCAGAUGACUGUGGCUUCUAUGCCUUCUCCCCGCUCCAGCCUCGCCUCCUUACUGCCUAAUCUCCACCCUGCACAGAUCUUUCUAGAAUGCAGAGCCUUCACCACGUGCCAGGUGUGGGGUUACCUGCUUCCCACCAACCGCCCCGUUCGGCCCUCUCUGUGGCUGUGUGGAUGCAGCCUCCCAGCUGUGGACACGAGGGUGGCCCGGGGAGGCCAGUGGCAGAGAGAGGUGGAGGGGUGGAGCCAGGCCCAGAGCGGCGCUGGGUCGGAGGUUUGCUUGCUGGUUUGGUUUGCACAGUCCUCUUACUUCAUUCAUUCAUUCGCUCAUUCAUUCAUUGGAAAAUGUGACCAACACCCAUAAACCCGCUAUCCCGCCCAGGAAUUACAAUGCUUUUCCAGGCCUAUGUGGACUUACGUGCUUCAACCAUCUGCCCCUGCACAGACCCCCACCCCCGGAAUCCCUAUCUAGAAUUUUGUGUUUGUGAAAAUGUUGUGACAUUUUCUUGCCUUUUAAUAAAAAGGGUCAUUUCCCCACA